CCUCAGAAAUACACAGGUCUGAACUUCAACUUCUGCUUUGCCAGUUCCUCUUAAUAACAUUGGAGGUCUUUUCUUAUAAAUGGAAAUUCAUGGGUUUCUGAUUUCUGCUUCAUUUACAAUUGUAUUCAUUUUAAUCUGAAUGUGUUUUCACUUAGUUAUAUUUAUCUUAAAAAGUAAUUCACAGAAAUAGCCUUUGCCUACCAGCUGAAAUCUGUUUGGUUGUCAUCAAGAAGAAUGGGGCACCAUGUCCAGCAUUGUGGGAAUUACAUUAUUUUCAUGAAUUCAAUAUUUGCUCAACCUUUUAUUCUUUUCUGUAACAAUGGUAAGAUCUCUCUCCCCAAUAGUUCCAUAACUAUUUCCCUCAACCCAAUGCUUAUACCUGUAUUUUG
rnacentral:lncRNA from 1 species